UACGAAGGGGGCUAGCGUUGCUCGGAAUCACUGGGCGUAAAGCGCACGUAGGCGGAUUGUUAAGUCAGGGGUGAAAUCCUGGAGCUCAACUCCAGAACUGCCUUUGAUACUGGCGAUCUUGAGUCCGGGAGAGGUGAGUGGAACUGCGAGUGUAGAGGUGAAAUUCGUAGAUAUUCGCAAGAACACCAGUGGCGAAGGCGGCUCACUGGCCCGGUACUGACGCUGAGGCGCGAAAGCUAGGGUAGCAAACGGG
rnacentral:rRNA from 1 species